UUAAACCAUUCUUCAAAUCUAUUAGUCCAAUAAAUGUGACAAAAGUGUGUGGAAAUCCCAGGUGCUUAGACUGACCGUCAGCCCAUUCCUCUGAUGGAAAGGAUGCUGCUUCCUAGCUCUACACAUGAGAAGAACACAUUUCCUGCAGAAGUUCAAUAUUCUAGUCUGAAUACUGGCCCUUGUAAUUUGACAAAAGAUUAUAAAACUAGAUGCUGAGAGCUACUUAGAAUGGUUCUCAGUGGUGUCUGGCUUUUAAUCCUGUCUCCAUGGAUUCUAUUCUGUGGUUAUCCAAGGCACCCAACAUUAUUGAUAACGGGGGUAAUAGAGAUAAAAGCUUGAAAUUAAAAGACUGAAAUCCAAUUCUGUUACUAACUAUGUAACCUUAAGCAAGUCCUUAAUCUCUCAUAACUUCAUAACUAAAAUACAGAUAAGUGUAUUUAAUUUUUAGAUGGCUAGAAUUGUUAGAAAAAAUUUAAAGGUAUUAUCAUGCUUAGGGCAGUGUUUGAUACCUAACAGAAAUUCAGUCAAUGCUUCAUGAAGAAAUUGGCUUCAUUCAUUCAUUCAACAAAUACUUAUGGUGGGUCUACCUGGGGCCAGGAUCUUAUCUAAUUAUUUGGGAUAAGUCAGUAAAUAAAAUAACAAAGUCCCUGCUCUGUUGAGGUUUAUGUGUCUGAGUGUCUGUAUGUGUGUUGUUUCCCCACAUAAUUAGCAAGUAAACAUAUGAAUAAGUUAUUAGGUAGUGGUUUAUGCUAUUUUGAAAAAAACUGAAGAAAUCUAAGAGAAGUAGAGAGUGACAAAAAUAGGGUAUAAUUUUUAAGAUACAGAGUUGUCCCCCAGGAUAACGUGAGAUUUUGGUAGAGGUCCAGAUGAAAUGAACCAUAUGUAUAUCGUAAGCAUGCUUGUUUUGGGAAAGAGAAGAGGCCGGUGGGCCUGGGAUGAAAAGACAAAGAAAGUCUUGGAAGGAAAUGAGAUCAGAGCGGAUGUGGUGGGUGAGGUUGGUACAGAUGAUAGAGUCUCACAGGUUGUUUUAAAGAUUUUGGUUUUUACUUGAGCAAUAAUUUCAGGCAGUGGAGCGAUGUGAUAUGAUUUACGUUCUAAAAGGAACAUUUUUGCUGCUACAUAGUAGACCGUACAAGAGUGGGAAUUAAAAUUCAACAGGCUGCUGUAAUGGUGAAGGUAACAUAAAACUAUGGCUUGGACCAGAAUAGUAGCAGUGUAGGUGGUGGUUAGUAAUCAGAUUCGGAUACAUUCCUAAAGGCGAGGUAAGGGUGACUCCUGUGUUUUUAGCUUUGAGUAACUGUAAGAAUGGGGAUUCAUAUACUAAUAUGACAAAAACAUGGUACAAACAAAUUUUGGAGGGAAAAUAAUCUGAUUUUAUAAUGUUACAUUUGAAGUGCCUUCGUUAAUUUGGCUAAGAGGAGGGUUCAGGGCUAAAGAUAGGAAAUUGGGAGUAGUCAGCAUAUAGGUGGAUUGGGCAGACCAGAGGGGAGGUUGGAAUUUUGAAGCGCUAAACUUCUCAGGAUCUGGAAGAUGAGAAGGAAUCCAGCAAAGGAAGCAGAGACAGGUUAAGAAAUAAGAAAUCGUCAUGUCCUGGGUGCCAGGUGAAGAUGUGUUUCAAGGAGAGAGUGGCUAAAUGUAUUGAACAUUACUGAUAUGUCAAGUCAAAUGAAGACUGAUAAUUGACCUCACUACCAACCAAUCAGAAUAAUGUCCAUGAGUUGAUCAUGCACCCUGAGACUCUGUCCCUCUCCUUGGCUUUAAAACCCCUUCCCUAAAAGCCAUUGAGGAGUUUUGGGUCUUUUGAGCAUUAGCUGCAGUGAUCCUUGUUUAGUGCCUUGCAAUAGAUGCUGUACUUUCCUUCCCCACAAUCUGGCAUCAGUAGGUUGGCUUUGCUGUGCAUCGGGUCAGCAGACCCAGGUUUGUUCAGUAACGUAAUGAUGAUUCCAUAUAAAUGAAACAUGGGUUUGUGUCCAUAAACAUGGAGACAUUAACUUCUAAAACUCAACACCCAUCCUGAGACAGAUAACAGAGACAGUCAGAACAGUAGUACGGCUUCUUACACAAAGCCAAGAUUAAAUGCAAUGCUGCGUCUGUAGAGACCACUAAAAUUAGCAUCAAAUUAAGAAGGGUUGGUAUCAUCACUGUUUUUUAAACAUUAGCUUGGAUGUUCUGUUUUCUAUAAUAAGACAUGGAACAGAAAUAAGUAUAUAAAUAUUGGCGAGGAAGAAAACUGACCACUUUGUAGUUAAAAGCAUAUUUAAUUUUUUAUGACUAAAACAUCAAAGCAAUCACUUGAAAAUUAAAAAAAUGAAACGUGAAUAAAGUGAUAGAUUAAUAUAUAAAAAUCAAAGGCAUUCUUGUAUGUAAAGAAUGACUAAGGAGAAAAAUGUAACAAAAGUUUAAAAGAUACACUUCAAUGUAGCGACAACACAUCAAGUAUUUGCAUAUUGGUAACCACUUCCUGGAUCCCUUGGAGAGCACUGUGUGAGGUAUAUUGGAAAGUGAUACCACUCUUUGCGAUUUAUAUUGAGUCAUUAAAAUAUUCAUGCCCAUUUAUUAUACUAAUUCUAUGGCUGGGAAUUUGCCCUGAGGGAGUAAUCCAAAGUGUGCGAAAUGUUAUACACAGAAAAGUUUCCAGUUCCCUAAGAGUAAAGUAAGAAAUUUUCAAAAUUCUCAGAAGUCGAGGAAUAAUUAAGCAAAUAUGGUUCAUUCUUAUGAUGGAAUAUAAUCUGAUUUUUUUUUUGGUGUCAGGAGUGGGAUAUAAUCUGAUUCUUAAACACGAUGCUUAUAAGGAUUCUUGUGUAAAGUGAAAAAGCAUGCUACAUUUUUGUUACAGUUUUAGUAAAAGUAUAUAAAAUAUUAUUGGGAAAGUAUUGGAGGGGGAAAAAAAAAGCUUUAGAUGGGUAACUGAUAAUUCUAUCAUGCUAACACAAUAAACAGUUUUCUCCUAAUUUCCAAAAUGUCUAUAAUUACUUUUAUCUUAAAAAAUGGAAACACACAUAUUUUUAUUUAUUUAUCUGAUUCAUGUUUUAAAGUAACAGUACUGGAAAUAUUAACUUUUUUAUUUUACUCUUUUUUAUAUCCUGCUACUACCUGAAAAUUUUGAGUUAGAGUUUGUUAAUUCUUUGUGUGUGUGUGUAUGAUAUUUAAAAAUAUCUUCAUUACAUUUUACACAAGUAAUAGAGUAAAGCAAUCUGCUUGUAAAUAUAGCGACCAGCACAGAAAAUACAGUUUGUGAGGAGUGAGACCUCUCUUCAUCAUACCCUUCUCUUGCCCUUGGCAGUACCAUGUUUUGCCUCAGAAGUUAACCGAUUAAUGCAUAUCAUUCCAAACAUUCCUGUGAACUUAUUUAAAUUAUUCCAGUGCAUUUAAAAAUAAACUGCAUUGUAUUAUGCUGUACGAAUUUUUUCUCUCUCAAUAUUGCAAUGUUUUCUGGAUAGCUUUCUCUCUCAGCACCAGCCAUGUGACCUCAUUCCUCUAACUGCUAGACAUCGGGAGAAGCAACUUCAGCGAAAGCCUGAUUAAUGAACUGGUGGCGAAGCAGUUAAAUUCUCCUUACCACUAGUGAUUAUGCUUAAAUCUGCGGAUUUCUUCCAGAAUUUCGACCAGUUUUUCUGUCAUGUUUUGUUUCCUGACUCUCUUGUCUGCCUGAUGGAGCAGUGAUGGAAUAGUGUCUCCGACCUGGUUGCCAAGAGGCUGAUGGAAAUGCCUUCUGUUCUGUUGCUUUUGGAAAGUAAGUGGUGUCAUUACAGUAAAACAAAUUUGAUUUUCAGUUUAAGUUGUCGUUUUAGCAUCUUGGCAUCAUUCUUGCCAAAGACCAACCCUUGUUUAUUCUCUUGCAUUACAAUAAAAAAAUGGAGAUCUACUCACCAGGGAAAAGAUGCCAGCGAGGCCAGACUGGAGGCAGAAACACUCAAGGAUGGCUCAGCUGCCGUCCAGCAUGGGAUAGUACCCAAACGCUAAGCCCAUCAGACUCCAGUGGGAGCAGCUCUAGAAUAAUCUGGCCCAAGCAUCCUGGCCCAGCUUCAGCGCUCCUAGAGGUUCUGCAAAAGACCAGGAGGGCUGCCACUACACUGACCAGCAUUUGCUCUUCCCGGACGCGCCCCGUGUUCACAGCCUUGGCUUUGAACAUGGUUUGAGCUCCUCUUUCAGGCCCUGCAAACUCCUUUCAAGGUCCACCUCAAAUGAAGGCUUCCUGGACCACCUGGUAAACUUGAUCUCUCUCUGUUGUGUGUUCAUAGCCCUCUGUUCACACCGUUGAAGCCUCUUAUCAGUUCCCACCUUGGGGUCUGUCUCUACUCCGAGCACUGAGUCAAGAGGAGAGAUGCUGACUGGCUCCUACUUGACAUUCUCAGUCUUUAUUCCGGUGCCUGGCAAGUAGGACCUGCUCAGGGGUUCCUCACUAGCUGGACUUUUAUAUACUUUUGACUUCCAGUUGGCUUUGACAACCAGGACGAGACCAUGCCAACUUUGACCUGGAUGGUUUGAGUCAAGAUAGCACACGUGACCUGAAAGAAUGAAGGCUUGUCUCGAGAACAGAGACUUUUCCUGCUCUAUUUGUUUUCCGUAUCACCUACUUCUAUUUUACUCAAGAGAUGUUAUAUUCUCUAUAAUAAAUCAUGUUUUGAGAAAAAGGUCUAGGCAGAACCUGCAGAGUUAUAUUCUUAAUAUAUUGUGUCUUUUUUUCCUCCCGAACACUACAAAUUACUCACUCUUCUAACCAAGCAGGACCCUAUGGGGGCUUCCAGGAACAGACCCCUUCUGCUGGAGCUCCUCUCUCAAGUACCCGGAUAACAGUAUCUGACGCACAUUUCCUGAGUUGCUUUACAGAUGUCAAAACCCCCCAGCAAAUGGAAGACGUUAAUUACUUGACGACCUUGAGCACACAGCCCCAGGCCUCCUGGAGCCUAAGGACUGAUAAUGUUAAAGGCUGUGACACCGCCCUGCGACCUCACCAUCAGCCAAUCAGAGAAUUGUGCACAAGCUGAUCUCGUACCCUGCGACACCCCCUCCCUCACCUGGCUUUUAAAUGUGCUUUGCCGAAACCCUUCGGGGAGCUCGGGGCUUUUUGGGGCGUGAGCCACCUCGUCUCUUUGUUUGGCCUUGCAAUAA